rnacentral:rRNA from 1 species
GACGAACGCUGGCGGCGUGCCUAACACAUGCAAGUCGAACGGGGGUAGCAAUACCUCAGUGGCGAACGGGUGCGUAACACGUGAAGAAUUUGUCUAACGGCGGGGGAUAGCCGGCCCAACGGCCGGGUAAUACCGCGUACGACCUCUGGAGGGCAUCCUCUGGUGGUGAAAGCCGCAAGGCGCCGAUAGAGAACUUCGCGGCCUAUCAGCUAGUUGGCGGGGUAAUGGCCCACCAAGGCGACGACGGGAGCUGGUCCGAGAGGAUGACCAGCCACAUUGGACUGAGACACGGCCCAGACUCCGUACGGGAGGCAGCAGGUGGGGAA